UACAGAGGUCUCAAGCGUUGUUCGGAUUCAUUGGGCGUAAAGGGUGCGUAGGCGGCGCGGUAAGUCGGGUGUGAAAUCUUGGAGCUUAACUCCGAAACUGCAUUCGAUACUGCCGUGCUUGAGGACUGGAGAGGAGACUGGAAUUUACGGUGUAGCGGUGAAAUGCGUAGAUAUCGUAAGGAAGACCAGUGGCGAAGGCGGGACUCUGGACAGUUCCUGACGCUGAGGCACGAAGGCCAGGGGAGCAAACGGG
rnacentral:rRNA from 1 species